rnacentral:rRNA from 1 species
UAGGGAAUCUUCGGCAAUGGACGAAAGUCUGACCGAGCAACGCCGCGUGAUUGAAGAAGGUUUUCGGAUCGUAAAACUCUGUUGUUAGAGAAGAACAAGGACGUUAGUAACUGAACGUCCCCUGACGGUAUCUAACCAGAAAGCCACGGCUAACUACGUGCCAGCAGCCGCGGUAAUACGUAGGUGGCAAGCGUUGUCCGGAUUUAUUGGGCGUAAAGCGAGCGCAGGCGGUUUCUUAAGUCUGAUGUGAAAGCCCCCGGCUCAACCGGGGAGGGUCAUUGGAAACUGGGAGACUUGAGUGCAGAAGAGGAGAGUGGAAUUCAAUGUGUAGCGGUGAAAUGCGUAGAUAGAUGGAGGAACACCAGUGGCGAAGGCGGCUCUCUGGUCUGUAGCUGACGCUGAGGCUCGAAAGCGUGGGGAGCAAACAGG